GUGCCAGCAGCCGCGGUAAUACGGAGGAUGCAAGCGUUAUCCGGAUUCAUUGGGUUUAAAGGGUGCGCAGGCGGAUUGGUAAGUCAGGGGUGAAAUCCCACAGCUCAACUGUGGAACUGCCUUUGAUACUGUCAGUCUAGAGUAUAGUUGAAGUUGGCGGAAUGUGUCAUGUAGCGGUGAAAUGCUUAGAUAUGACACAGAACACCGAUCGCGAAGGCAGCUAGCUAAGCUAUAACUGACGCUCAUGCACGAAAGCGUGGGGAUCAAACAGGAUUAGAAACCCCGGUAGUCC
rnacentral:rRNA from 1 species